rnacentral:hammerhead_ribozyme from 1 species
GUACUGAUGAGGAGUCCCAAAAUAAAACGAAACAAAUGUCCGGUAC